rnacentral:rRNA from 1 species
CCUGCUCAAUGCCCGAUAAAUAGCCGCGUUAUCGUGCUAAGGUAGCAUAAUCACUUGUCUUUUAAAUAAAGAAUAGAAUGAAGGGAUAAACGAAUUAUAAACUUUUUUAAUCUUACCUAAUAAACUUAAUUUAAAUGUAAAAAAGCACUUAUUAAAAGAAAAGACGACAAGACCCUUUAGAACUUAACAUAUGUUAAGCUGGGGUGGCAUAUAAAACUAAAACUUAUAAACAUAUUAAAUAAAAACUUUUAUAAUAAAUUUAUCAAGUUACCUAAGGGAUAACAGCACAAUAAUUUACCAAAGAUCAUAUAAAAUAUAUAAAUUGUGACCUCGAUGUUGAAUUAUUUAAACUUUUUCAUUAAGCACAGUUAUAAAAAGUAAGUCUGUUCGACUUUUAAUUUAAUACAU